GUCUGUGAUUUGACUCUUCACUCCUGUGUAAUCCCUGCCUGUUUUUUUCUAGCUCUGAAGUUGUCUCCUGGCUCCUGGCGCUUGUCUGACUCUGGAGCUGGAACCGUUUUAUCUCCUGACCCCCCUCGAUCCUGAAAUAAAUCCUCUCCUUUCUGUUAUUGACCGGUCCUUCUGCCUGUGACGUGGUUACUUAACAGUCGACACCAUAGCGUCAUUUAAGUGUGUUUUCCUAUUUCGUCAUCUUUGUACGCCAUUGUUACGGGGCGACGCGCACGUGCGCGGGCUGCGAACUGAGUCUGUGCCUCUCCUCUCUCCCGGGUCCCAAGGCUUGGGGUUUUGUUUGUUUGCUGUGAUGAGCGCACAGGCUGCGUUCCCGCUGAUGUUAGAAUUAUUUGAGAGGAGCAACUUCAAUACAAAAAAAAAAAAAAGUUUUUCUCAGAUCGCGUGCAGGGAAGCGUGUCUUCGUAGUUAGAUCUCAGGGUGUGAGUUCAGGAUCCCUGCAGCUCCGAGCCUGCCGGAUCCCUCUGACCUGACAGCGGUGGAUUCCAACCCCCUGAAACCGUGAGCUUAGCCGCCCGCCCGUCCCCCCACGCUGCUCUUCCCCACAGCGCACUCAGAUACCUGCGAGGUUGAUCUCCGACGCCCGCGGGCACCGAGUCUCCAGGCCGCCGUCUCGGGGGCUGCAGCCUCCUCCGUCCCACACACUUCCGCUCCCGGUGGUCCCUGGAAGACACAGAGCUUGGUCUCCCCGAAUCACCGAAUCACCGAGCGCCCCGAGCGCCCCUCUCCUCGGAGCCCGUCCUGCUCUCUACACCUCUCCGAGCUCUGCUGCCCCAGGGACCAGUGAGCCGGAGCCGACCCUGGGCCUUGUCCGCCACAGAGGCCACAGCAAAGUCUCAAAAAGACUGACAGUCACAUGUUUCUCAACACGAAAUGACCAAAAAUGUACUCAAAACCCAAAGCAUGAGAAGCCUGCAGUGUUUGUGGCGGCUCUCGAGCCUUUUCUGCCGCCUUGGGGAUGAACGCAGAACGCGGUUUCCUUAAGCCGUGUGUGUUGUCAUCUGUGUAACACCAACAAAUGCUGCCCAAAGCUGCCGAAAACACCUCAGCUCUGACUCACCACUGUUCCAUGUUACAAACUGCAGUGUUUUUAAUAUAUAUCAUGUUAUGUGACAUAGUAUAUUAUAUAUCAUAUAUUGCAUGUUAUGUAUCAUAUUUCACAUAUUACAUUUAUUACAUAUUACACAUUACAUAUUAUAUAUUACAUAAUAUUGCUGUGUGCUUAUGGGGGUGUUUAAGUUACUUUUAUAUUGCUGUUGAAUAAUAUAAUUCCUUAAUUAUAAUAAUUAUAAAAUUAUAAUUAUAUAACAUAAAAUAUUAUAUAUAAUAUAAAAUACUAUAUGUAUCUAUCAUGCUUUUAGAGCUUGGAGAUAUCUUGGAUGGAAUAAGUGCUGAGGACCUAAGCUCAAUCCCCAGUACCAGCAUGAAAAACUGGGCACAGUGGGGUGUGGCUGUAGUCACUGCCCAGAUUCCUGGGGCUACCCAGCCAGGACAGCCGAAUCGCUGAGCUGUACGUUCAAUAAGAGCUCUGUCUCAAAAAUAAGGUGGAGGCCAGGUAUGGUGGGGCAUAGGUUAAACAGGUGGAUCUCUCACUGCAAGGCCUGGUAGGGCUACAUAGUAAGCCCUUGUCUCAAAAGAAAGGAUGGUGAGCCAUUGAGGAACCAACACCUUUCACCUACAUGGGCACACACAAACCUGUCUUUAAAAGCAUAUAUAAAUAUGGUUGCAUUCUUGUGGAAAAUAGUGGUUUAGUUAUGAAAGGCAAAGAUUUAAUAUUUCUCUAUAAAACUAGUAUCAGGUUCUUAUAUCUUAAAAGUGUAUCACGUGAGACAGGCACACCCAUUUCGUCGGCAGGUAAAUUUGCUUUCAUUUUCAAUAAAUUGCAAAGCUAUGUA